rnacentral:rRNA from 1 species
GACGAACGCUGGCGGCGUGCCUAAUACAUGCAAGUCGAACGCUUCUUUCCUCCCGAGUGCUUGCACUCAAUUGGAAAGAGGAGUGGCGGACGGGUGAGUAACACGUGGGUAACCUACCCAUCAGAGGGGGAUAACACUUGGAAACAGGUGCUAAUACCGCAUAACAGUUUAUGCCGCAUGGCAUAAGAGUGAAAGGCGCUUUCGGGUGUCGCUGAUGGAUGGACCCGCGGUGCAUUAGCUAGUUGGUGAGGUAACGGCUCACCAAGGCCACGAUGCAUAGCCGACCUGAGAGGGUGAUCGGCCACACUGGGACUGAGACACGGCCCAGACUCCUACGGGAGGCAGCAGUGGGGAAUCUUCGGCAACGGACGAAAGUCUGACCGAGCAACGCCGCGUGAGUGAAGAAGGUUUUCGGAUCGUAAAACUCUGUUGUUAGAGAAGAACAAGGACGUUAGUAACUGAACGUCCCCUGACGGUAUCUAACCAGAAAGCCACGGCUAACUACGUG